rnacentral:tRNA from 2 species
GUUUAAGUAGUUUAAUUAGAAUAAUAAUUUGUGGUGUUAUAGGUACUAUUUUUGGUCUUAAACU